rnacentral:rRNA from 1 species
UACAGAGGUCCCAAGCGUUGUUCGGAUUCACUGGGCGUAAAGGGUGCGUAGGUGGUCAGGUAAGUCGGAUGUGAAAUCUCCGAGCUCAACCCGGAAACUGCAUUGGAAACUACCUGGCUCGAGGGUUGGAGGGGGGACUGGAAUGCUUGGUGUAGCAGUGAAAUGCGUAGAUAUCAAGCGGAAUACCAGUGGCGAAGGCGAGUCCCUGGACAACUCCUGACACUGAUGCACGAAAGCUAGGGGAGCAAACAGG